UACGUAGGGGGCAAGCGUUGUCCGGAAUUAUUGGGCGUAAAGAGCGCGUAGGCGGUCCGAUAAGUCGGCUGUGAAAGUCAGGGGCUCAACCCUUGAAAGCCGGCCGAUACUGUCGGACUAGAGUCCGGAAGAGGCAAGUGGAAUUCCCGGUGUAGCGGUGAAAUGCGUAGAUAUCGAGAGGAACACCUGCGGCGAAGGCGGGUUGCUGGGCUGAUACUGACGCUGAGGCGCGAAAGCUAGGGGAGCGAACGGG
rnacentral:rRNA from 1 species